rnacentral:misc_RNA from 1 species
AACGACGACAAACCCGUCACACCACAGGCAGCACGCAGCGCAAGGGAGCCUGCCUAGACGGAGUCCAUCUCCCCUUUCCUUUGAUAGGGUAGAGGCGCGUGGUGAGGUCUUCGCGUCUUCUGCACCGCUUCCUCCCUCCAUCCUACACCUUUUUCUUGUGUGUUGCGCCUCUUUCUCUCGCACACACUUGUGUUCUGGUUGCGCUUCUUUUCCGUGCCGCCGGCCGAGCCGUCCGCUCUGCUUCUUUCCUCUGCUCUCACCCCCCAACCUCCUCCGUCGCCUCUGUCUUGUUUCGUCGCGUGCAUCUUCCAAAGACACGCCACACGUUUCUGCUUCACCCCUUCUCCUCUCCUCUCUCUUCUCGGUCUCACCGACAGCUGCCGUAGCUAUCAAAGACCGCUUUACACGCGUCUACGGGUACCGAGUAUACGCGUGUGCGUGCGUGCGUAUGUGUGCCUGUCCGCCCUGUUGACCACGGACAGAGGCUGAACCACUACUGCCCCUCGAUCGCUUCGGCUCUGUCGUGUCGUUGGCCAAUGCGCCCGCUCGUCGUCAGACGCCCUUCCGCUCAAGAGGCCGUGCGAGGGCCGGUCGCCGGCACGGAUGUGCACCUCCGGCGCAGAAAGCAACGUGUCGCUACAGGGACGUUCUCCUUCCUCGUUGCCGGCGUCGUGGCGCUUCUCUUCUUUGGCUGCAUCUUUCACGGGAUGUUGUCGUCCGCGCAUACGCGCAGCGGCGGCGCCGUCGGCGCAUCGAUCAAGCCAAAGGAUGAUAUGAUGGUGCGAGCCCCACAGAAUGAGAAGCUGCGCCGCCAGGGACAGUGGACAGGCACUACUCGAGCGCCAGUGGUGAAAGGAAGAACCAGCUCAUCCACGACGAUAACUGGCGCGAACAAGACUUCCGCAUCUUCCAGCUUGCCGCCUCCGAUACUGCCCGCGGGCGGCGCAACGCCAGCGGCACCGGAUGUUCUUAAUCCGAGAUCCCAAGCUCCGUCCGAGCCGCCCGCUGCGGGGUCGUCAGCCGCUUUCGAGGCAUCCGGGAGAGUGCAUGGUGCCAAGGCCACCGCUCCGACGCGCAUAGUGACUGCGGGACUCCAUCCGGCCCCAGCACCACCAUGGGUCCACCGUCUGCCCCCACAGUUCUCACCAAUGAUAAGACGCCCCAACCUUCCAGGAGCACAAGCUCAGUAUACCCCCGAGGAGCCGCGCCUCCUGCCUGGGCUGCAGAUCCAGCGGCGCACCUUCAACCCGGCCGAGCUGCUUGAGCGCUUCGGCGACACGGACAUCAUCUACAGCUUCGUCAACGGCAGCGAGGCGAACCACCAGUAUCGGAAGGCCAUGCGAAUGUUCUGCAUGCAGGAGAUUCUCACCUUGGAGGGCACUUCUUAUGCGAAAGGGCAUAGGUUCCUGACGCCCCGCCCGAACACCGGCGAACCCCCCACGGCCUCUUCUAACAGUGCGCCCGCGAACCCGUUCCAAGCUCUGUUUCGGUUCCUCCAUUGCGCACCAGAGUUUUUGAGAGGCACGCAGAACCCCAUCCGCACAACAGGUGAUGUACUGCAGGCUGUCAUAGCUGCUGCCCGCCACGGUGUCGACAACCGUGAUCGCGAGACGGACGAGCUGCGGCACAGCCUGCGCAGCGUGGAGCAGCACGUGCGGUGGCACCGCGGCCGCGUGGUGAUGGUGUCGCCCGGGCACCACCCGACGUGGGUGGACGGCGCGAAGAACUUCCUUGCUGGGAUGUGCGGCGGUGCGCGCGUGCAGGCGCUGCGGUCGAGCGGGACGCACCUGCGCGUGACGACUGUGCACCAGGACGCCGUGAUGCCGUACGGGAUGCGGCUGACGGUGGACUCGCACGUGAUCGAGCAGCACCUGUGGCGCGUGCGCAACAUGACACCCGUGCACGUGUACAUGAACGACGACUACUUUGUGAACCGCGACGUUGCGAUCACGGACCUGUUCAACGAGUACGGCGGCACGAUUGUGCGGACGGAGAGGGGCAUCAUUGCGGCCGGCGCUGUCGCAGAUAGAAGCGCUUCCUGGGCAAAGGGCGUGCUGCACACGCAGCAGUUCAACAUCAUGGAGCUGGACGUGCUGCGCGAGGACUACCUGCCGGAGGCCCUAGUCGCCAUGUGGGACAGUCUGAAGCGCGUAAACAGGAGCGCUGGUGCCGCUGCCGUGACUGCUAUUUCCGUACCACCCCUUGACGAGGCGGUCGAUGUCGCGCACCAAUACGAACCGGACCCGCUGCCCGGCAAGUCGCUCAUACCACGCCGCCCGCGCCGAUACACCACCCACGCGCCGUUCGUGUACUGCACGAAUAUGUUCCGCUUCUUCGAGACCCGCUACGAGCGCGAGUUUGCCGCGACAGCGCUUCGCCACCGCAGUCGCAAGGCGCGCGACCUCUUCAUCCCGUUUGUGUACAACGCCUUCAUCAUGGCGCGGCCGUGGCAGGCGUCGCCGAAGUUCCUGCCGUACCUGCUGGAGCUGCACCGGAGCCGACGACAGGGGCGGGCGGACGCGAUGCCGCCGACGGAGAUCGUGCUGGACAACGUCGACGGCUGCGGCCCCGCAUCGUUGCUCAGCGGCGCGACUGAGUCUGAUUGCGUGUUUGCCAAGUUCCUGAACGACUUAACGCUGAACAAGGCGGUGGUGGAGCGCGUGCGGCAGGUGAACCCGCUGUACUUCAACAUCAACGCCGGGUUCAGCAGCGCGGAGGCUGCGGACCAGCUGCGCCGCUUCCUGCACGGCAAGUUUCCGACUCCGGUGUACCUGGAGGUGGGCGGAGCCCCGCCCCCCGGCGAGGGCCUCGUAGACGGCGCGGGGGAGGUGGUGGGCGGCAGGACGAGGGCUGCCGGGGCCGCCGCGGCUGCUGAGGAGGAAGCGCUGUCGAGGCUGUUUGGCGACCUGAUGGCGCUGCCGGUGGUGGGCGUUGUGUCGUACGAGGAGGGCGUGUGCCCGCUUGUGCGGAGCCUUGCGCUUGCGUUCGCGGGGCACCACCGUGGCGGCGUGCGUGUGAGCGUGGAGCAGCACGGCGGCGCGGCGCUGCGUGAGGCGCGCGCUGCGCUUGGGCACCGCGUGGUGAGCGCGAUGCCUGCGCCUGCGUGCGCGUACAAGGAGCAGGUGAGCGUGGACCCCGCGGCACGGGGUGAGAGCGUUGCCGAGAUUGCCCGGCGCGCCAUGGGUGAAAUGCGGGGCGGCGUGGAGCUGCCGUCGACGUGCGGCGCCGGCGGCGCUGGGCUGCGCGUGCACGGGUUCGUGGUGGACGCGCGGACGCGCGGGGCGCCUGUGCGGAGCGCUGCUGCGCUGCGGGACGCGCUUGCGGUGCCUGCGCAGACGCUGUCGCUGGAGGACUUCCGCGCCGUUGCUGUUGGGCCGUCGGAGGGCGACGUGGUGCUGGUUGUGUCGCGCGAGGACGCGGAGGCGAAGGCGGUGCACUGGGUGAAUGGGGCGUCGGAGAGUGACCUGCUUGUGACGUACCCGCUGCCGGUGGAGGCGUACGAGGACAUGGGCGCGGAGGUGCGGUGGUCGGUGCCGUAGAGACUCGCGGGAUUGAGGACACUGAAGUGGCGCGAAGAGGUCACUGAGUUUUUCUGUCUCUUGCUGUUGUGUAGGCUCGGUGAUGUGUGUGCGCGGGGUGGAGGAUGCAGGAGGUCGUCGCAGGAGCAGAGGACAGACAGGAGAAGAGGCGAGAGAAAAUGGUAGUAUGCUGUACUGCGGAUGUGGUGCGGCUGUUCGCCAUGUGAGCGAGCAGUAUGGGAAUGAUGCACUCAGACACACAAAAACACACACGCACACCAAUACACGGCCGCAGGCGCGUAAGCGGCGCACCUGUCAUGGUCACUGUUAGCCCCCUUUCGUUGCCAGGGAGGAUCUGUUGUGUGUCUGAGCGUCAGGUCGUGUUCGUGCUCUCACGCCGCUUGGUGCAGCUCUCGUGUACGGCUUUGUUUCAUUUCGAUCUUGCAUGCGCGCGAUAACCGCGGCGACUGCGAUGUAAGUUCUACCGAGUCGUCUUCCUCCGACGCGCAGGCUACCCCUGUGCCACCUCGCCCCCUCUCCUCUGCCUCACCUUAUCUUCGCGCGUGUGCAAG